UACGUAGGGUGCGAGCGUUAAUCGGAAUUACUGGGCGUAAAGCGUGCGCAGGCGGUUUUGUAAGGCAGAUGUGAAAUCCCCGGGCUCAACCUGGGAACUGCGUUUGAAACUACAAGGCUAGAGUGUGGCAGAGGGGGGUGGAAUUCCACGUGUAGCAGUGAAAUGCGUAGAGAUGUGGAGGAACACCGAUGGCGAAGGCAGCCCCCUGGGUUAACACUGACGCUCAGGCACGAAAGCGUGGGGAGCAAAUAGG
rnacentral:rRNA from 1 species